UACGGAGGGUGCAAGCGUUAUCCGGAUUCACUGGGUUUAAAGGGUGCGUAGGAGGGCAGGUAAGUCAGUGGUGAAAUCUCCAAGCUUAACUUGGAAACUGCCGUUGAUACUAUCUGUCUUGAAUAUUGUGGAGGUGAGCGGAAUAUGACAUGUAGCGGUGAAAUGCUUAGAUAUGUCAUAGAACACCGAUUGCGAAGGCAGCUCACUAAACUGUCACUGACGCUGAGGCACGAAAGCGUGGGGAGCAAACAGG
rnacentral:rRNA from 1 species